CCCACGCAUACUUUUAUUGUUGAUAACUCCCACGCAAUAUUUUAUGUGCAGGCAAUAUCUAUGCAGGUUAUAGCCUAGAUAUUGAUUGAACAAAAUCAUGAUUGAUGCAUUUAGCCUUAAACGUUCAAAGAAUUUUGAAUAAUAUUAAAAAUACCGCCAAAAGGUCCUGGAUAGAAUAAAGCCCCUAUGGAUAGCAGAAUACAUACUCACGUGAAUAUAUUAAAUGAAGUUUCGAUAUAGAUGAAUUAAUCGCAGAAAUUAAAAUAAAAGUCUCAAAUAUAAGAAGGAGGUCGAUUUCAGUAUAAGCACAAUUACAGUUGUCAUUUUUCAUAGUUUGCAGAUAUGGGCGGUUCCAGUUCGGGUAUUGUUUGUGGAUAAUGUUGGGCAACAUUUGUCUUAAUGACCACAUAAACUGGCUACUCGGCACAGGACUUUGUAAAUGUUGUGACAAAUCGAAACGUGACAGAUCCUGGUCCUGGCUGAAAUUUAAAGUAUUACAGCUGUAGCUUCUAUACCAUAAAUUUAACAUGGAAAGGACUGUUCUUGGGAAAAUGCUGACGUAACUGAUGGGAGCAGUUUUUCUUACCAAUCAUAGAAGCAGUAGAAGUAUUCAAACACCAUCAUGACACACUUUAGACAUACCAAGAGAGCUCUAGAAGAAGAACUAGUGGUAGAUUGGAACAGAUUGUAGCUUAAUUGUUAAACUAAAAGGACUUCUUAAAUCGUUUGAAUUUUAGCUACACUUGAACUGUAGUUUUGAAAUAAAAUAGCUGAAGUAUUUAAUAGUGUCUUGAUUUUUUUGUUAAACUCUGUUACGUACAGUACUUUGCUUUAUAUUUAUAUUAAAGUAUGUUGAAAUGACAUUGAAACUUCAACGUUGUGCCAACGUUGAACUUCAACGUUUUUUAAACUUUCAAAUUCGAACAUAAAUCUAACGUUAUUUCAACGUUGAAAUCUGAUCAUACUUCAACGUUGUUCACCGUUGAUGUGCCUGCUGGGUUACUUCUAUCAAGGACCUAUUUGCGGUAUUUUUAAUAUUAUUCAAAAUUCUAUGAAAGUUUGAUGCUAAAUGCAUCAAUCAUGAUUUUUUUCAAUCAAUAUCUAGGCUAUAACCUGCAUAGAUAUUGCCUGCACAUAAAAUAUUGUGUGGGAGUUAUCAACAAUAAAAGUAUGCGUGGGAGUUACCAAAAUUAUUUU